AGCAUAGUGCAGUGGUUUCUGUGUUGGACUGCAAUUCUGGAGAGCAGGGUUCGAUUCCCUGCUGAGCCA